CGCCGUGAUGGUUCGCAGGUGGUGGUGCAGUCGGCACAGGCCCGACUACGGGCGGUGGUCGCAAGGAAGACAAGUUCGACAUUGGCGGUGGUGC
rnacentral:tRNA from 1 species